rnacentral:lncRNA from 1 species
UAUUAACUGUAGAUGUUUUCAAAGUUUAGCAUUUUAAUAGCUGAUACAACUCUUCAAAAGCCUGAAUAUUAAACGUAAUUUAGUUUUGCAAUUAAAUGAAUCUUCAAAUCAUGUAUUUCUCUUUUUCAGACAGUUGAAUGACUUUACUCCACAUAACACAAAUCAUGUUGCAGCUUGCCAACAGAAAUAUGAACAGCAACAGGUGAAUUUCUGACAAGAAGUUCCUGAAAAAGAGUGCAAACUGAAGCUGUCUGUAUCUCUCCUUCAGAACAUUCUCCUCAAGACUCAUGCUGUGGAUACAUAGGGACAAAUGGCUGGUAUGGAGGGGACCUUUCAGAGAGCUGACAAAUGGAUGGGAAAGGGCAAUGGAAGUGCAACCAAAUGAAGAGGUGAGUUAAGUCUGCUCAAACGUUU